rnacentral:tRNA from 1 species
GCCGUUGCCUGGGUAGAGCCACAGCUGUCCGGUUCCCACCCGGUCCUUCGCGAUGACGUCGGCGUCGCCGUCGCCGUUGAAGUCGCCGGUGCUGGUG